GUUUGGGUGGCGGACGGGUGAGUAACGCGUAAAGAACUUGCCUCACAGCUAGGGACAACAUUUGGAAACGAAUGCUAAUACCUAAUAUUAUGAUAAUAGGGCAUCCUAUAAUUAUGAAAGCUAUAAGCGCUGUGAGAGAGCUUUGCGUCCCAUUAGCUAGUUGGAGAGGUAACGGCUCACCAAGGCGAUGAUGGGUAGCCGGCCUGAGAGGGUGAUCGGCCACAAGGGGACUGAGACACGGCCCUUACUCC
rnacentral:rRNA from 1 species